rnacentral:tRNA from 1 species
GGAUGUAGCUCAGUGGUAGAGCACUUGCUUGGCAUGCAUGAGGCCCUGGUUCAAUCCCCAGUAUACA